rnacentral:sRNA from 1 species
GCCAGGCAUGUUCGCACAUGCCUGUAAUCCCAGCAGCUUGGGAGGCUGAGGCAGGAGAAUCACAGGUUCAAAAGCCAGCCUCAG